GACGAACGCUGGCGGCGUGCUUAACACAUGCAAGUCGAACGGUCCUGUUUUUGAAGCGCUUCGGCGUGGAGGGAGCGGGUUAGUGGCGCACGGGUGAGUAAUGCGCGAGGACCUGCCCGCGGGAGGGGGACAGCAGUUGGAAACGGCUGGUGAUACCCCGUAAGCCGGGAGGUAAAAGGGCGGAGACGCCCGCCUGCGGAUGGACUCGCGUCCUAUCAGCUAGUUGGUGAGGCAACGGCUCACCAAGGCGACGACGGGUAGCCGGCCUGAGAGGGUGUCCGGCCACACUGGAACUGAGACACGGUCCAGACUCCUACGGGAGGCAGCAGUGGGGAAUUUUGGGCAAUGGGGGAGACCCUGACCCAGCGACGCCGCGUGAGGGACGAAGGCCCUUGGGUCGUAAACCUCUUUUGCAGGGAAGAAGAAGAUGACGGUACCUUGCGAACAAGUCCCGGCUAACUACGUG
rnacentral:rRNA from 1 species